rnacentral:ncRNA from 2 species
AUAUAGUUAACCCACAUCGGUUCUAGUGGGAAGUCAGCCACUAGAGGUAACGGGGAAAGUCUGGUGCAAAUCCAGCGCUGUCCCGCAACUGUGAUGAGGUGCUAUGUCUCUAAGUCAGGAUGCCCGCCGAAUGGACGUAGCAGCA